rnacentral:tRNA from 2 species
CGGGGCAUGGCGCAGCCCGGUAGCGCGCGUCGUUCGGGACGACGAGGUCGCCGGUUCAAAUCCGGCUGCCCCGACCC